rfam:Schistosoma mattheei strain Denwood, Zambia genome assembly, scaffold: SMTD_scaffold0016461
AUCCAGCUGAUGAAUCCCAAAUAGGACGAAACGCGCGUCCUGGAU